GAUGAACGCUGGCGGCGUGCCUAAUACAUGCAAGUCGAGCGAAGGGACGAGAAGCUUGCUUCUCUGAUGUUAGCGGCGGACGGGUGAGUAAAACGUGGAUAACCUACCUAUAAGACUGGGAUAACUUCGGGAAACCGGAGCUAAUACAGGAUAAUAUUUGGAACUGCAUGGUUCAAAAGUGAAAGACGGUUUUGCUGUCACUUAUAGAUGGAUCCGCGCUGCAUUAGCUAGUUGGUAAGGUAACGGCUUACCAAGGCAACGAUGCAUAGCCGACCUGAGAGGGUGAUCGGCCACACUGGAACUGAGACACGGUCCAGACUCCGACGGGAGGCAGCAGUAGGGAAUCUUCCGCAAUGGGCGAAAGCCUGACGGAGCAACGCCGCGUGAGUGAUGAAGGUCUUCGGAUCGUAAAACUCUGUUAUUAGGGAAGAACAUAUGUGUAAGUAACUGUGCACAUCUUGACGUUACCUAAGCAGAAAGUCACGGCUAACUACGUG
rnacentral:rRNA from 1 species